rnacentral:rRNA from 1 species
GACGAACGCUGGCGGCGUGCCUAAUACAUGCAAGUAGAACGCUGAAGGAGGAGCUUGCUUCUCUGGAUGAGUUGCGAACGGGUGAGUAACGCGUAGGUAACCUGCCUGGUAGCGGGGGAUAACUAUUGGAAACGAUAGCUAAUACCGCAUAAGAGUAGAUGUUGCAUGACAUUUGCUUAAAAGGUGCAAUUGCCUCACUACCAGAUGGACCUGCGUUGUAUUAGCUAGUUGGUGGGGUAACGGCUCACCAAGGCGACGAUACAUAGCCGACCUGAGAGGGUGAUCGGCCACACUGGGACUGAGACACGGCCCAGACUCCUACGGGAGGCAGCAGUAGGGAAUCUUCGGCAAUGGACGGAAGUCUGACCGAGCAACGCCGCGUGAGUGAAGAAGGUUUUCGGAUCGUAAAGCUCUGUUGUAAAAGAAGAACGAGUGUGAGAGUGGAAAGUUCACACUGUGACGGUAUCUUACCAGAAAGGGACGGCUAACUACGUG